GCAUUCCCAAGACGAUUCAUAUUUUAAGUCCAGAAAUUAACUGGAAGACUAUCAAAUGUCUUCCUAUUCCAUUCCUAAUCAGGUGAGACAUUUUUACUCUAAAUAUUUUUAUGAAAAAGUUAUGUACCAUAAUCAAAUAGUCUAUUUGUUCUAUGGUUUUGUUUAAUGGCAGUUGGGAACUUUUCUAAAUACCAUCAAAAGAAUCCUUGAUGUUCUACAUUGUAGAGUAGAAGACAAACUCAAGUCAUGGGCAUCGUAUCUUCCAGCCAGCGGUGAUAAAAAGUCAAAACUUAUAGGGAGCAAAUGAAUGCGGUUACUGUCUUGUUAAGGGUAAAAAACAAAAACUAUAUGCAGGUUGUUAUGAUCAAACUCAUUAGUAAUGUGCAAGCAAGUCACAGCACAUGAAGUCAAAGAAUUCUUGAAGAAAUGAAGAUGACGGAGAGAGGGUCCCUGAAAGGAUGCAAAUUUUGUGCUCACCGCUAGUGGAAUAUGUAUCUAACUUGCAUAAAGUUUUUACAGAUCAAAUAUUCAUUGCUAGUUGUCGUGGUUUAUGGGAUAGAAUCAUAGAAUGGGACAGAGAUUGUAUUGAAGUUUCUGAAAGCUAGAAAGGAAAAUCAUGUAUGGUACAACGGAUCUUAUUAUGCUCUUGGAAUUUUGGAUGAUACUUUUGCUUCCCAGAUGCGAAGAUUGCAAGGAAAUGCGUUACAAGGGAAAGAUAUUAAACCACCGCGCUCAAUGAUUGAAGCUCAGCUCGUUCCUUUCUUGGCAGAGAUUCGGAUGCAGCAAAUACUUCCACCUACUUCUAUUAAAGUAAUAUAAACUUAGUGUGCAAUACUUUCAUGUGUUCAGUUUAUAUGUAUAUGAUAGUCAACUAGGGGAAUCGAUCCACCUUUGUACGUUUUGUUAUAGUUAUCUAUUACGAGUAUAUUUUAGGUUAAUACAACAAUUCCACAAUCUACUCUAUAUAGAUACGUUUGUUUGUUAUUGUCGUUGUGUUUA